CCUCAGCUCCCAAAUAAUUCUUUGACUUGGUUUUGCACCGAACUCCCUGAUGCAGGAGCAGCAACUGUGAGAGAUAAUUAACGAGAAGAAAUAAGACCCUCAGAGAGUUAUAGCUGCCUGACUAUAAAGCUGUAAAUGCAACUAUUCUCUCAAAAGUGCCACAUUCUGUAUGGGAUACUGACCAAU